UCUCUCUCUCUCUCUCCAGUCAUUUCUCGGCGUCCUGUCCCACGGUCAGCAACACUCCUCCGGGUGACCUUUCCAUGCGACAAACGUUCUGAUCUUGUGAUGCCUACGCAUUACCGGCGGAAGACUGUCUUAACGUAGCUUGUAGCGGUAGUAGUGAGCAUUGUAGUAAAAGACAGUGACAGUGGUAAACGUACAUAGUGCCCAGAGUGUCUUGAGAUUCGUGCGCGACGUGAAGUAGAGACAUUGUUGAUUAUCUGAAGGUGAAAAGCUCUGUUAUCGGAAGGCGACGAAGAAAGUGCGACUUGUUGAAUAGAAAAGUUAGCCUCGAUCUUGAUGAAUUUGGUGCGUAAAGUUGAAAGUCGUGGCGUGAAAUUGAACCUGUUUACUUCUUUCGGAGUCUGAAGGUGAAAAGAUCGUUGAACUCCCUGAAGGCGACGGAGAAGAUUGUGGCCAAUUUGUAAUCGAAAAUGGUUCUGAAUCGUCGCAUAUUUAGUGUUGAAAUGUGAAAAUCUCGGCGUGUCUGAAGGUGAAAAGAUCAUUUAACUGUCUGAAGAUGACGAAGAAGGAUAUUUUAGCUUAUUUACGUUGAGAUGGACUUAAAACUUCUCGAAAUUAGAGUUCAAAAGUGAAAAUCUCGUGUGUGACUCAUAAAAGACGACGAGAAAUAGACAUGCAUUAGCUUCUUGACGUGGAAAUUGACUUCAAAAGAACCUCUUGAAUUAUUAAAGGUGACAAUUUCCCCUGUAACUCCUGAAGGCGAGGAAGUAAGAGAUAUCCGCACAUAAAACCAGGUCAAUAACUCUGCGAAUAAAGUGUGCUAAAGUGAAGAUCUUAAACCACACCUCCUGAAGACGAAAAAUGAGGCUGUGGGCGAAGGAGUCUGGUGGGGUGCCUUAUUCACGCCUCCUGGUGCCUGACGUGGCGGAAGAGGACGAGGACAUGGUGGAGGAAGGUUCUAAGAGCGAGGACCUUAUUGAUAUACCCUCCCCUCCUCAUUCCCUAAGAUGCCCCAUUCCUCUUGUAGAUUCCCCGCCUUCCACCCCUCCCACGCCUCCUAACACCCGACCUACGUCCUCCGUCAGUAGCGAGGCCUCCCGUGACGUGGGUGUUACGGAGGGGCACGUGAAUUUAGCCUGUGAAUCGGAAGUUAUUGAUGCGGUACCGUCUAACAAUUCCUCCUCCUCCUCCUCCUCCUCCUCCUCCUCCUCCUCCUCCUCCUCCUCCUCCACCUCCACCUCCUCCACUACCGUAGGUGUUGAGGGCGCCUCUCCCGAACGCUCUGCUAAGUUGUCCUUCAAGAUUGUACGUAUCCUUCGGGACCUUCGUCAGGGCCUUCUGCGUACGGAGAGGCCCCUGAGGGAAACCGCCAUCUUCUACACCAAAGGCACGCCCUACCAAGAUGACACCUACAUGUACGACGAUGACGUGGGCGAGGCGGGGGCCGGCGCGGGCGUGGGCGUGCUGGGUCCCCCCACCACUGGUACGACGAGCCGCCCUACGAGUCCGACCCUGAAGACUUCCUCAUCGGCAAGGACGCGUACAGCGUCCUGCCCCUUCCCCCGCCCAGGGAGCCCUACGGCGGUGGCCUGCGCGUGGUGGUGACGGAGGAGGAUAUCAUCUCCCUCAGGACGGCGGGAGAUAUCUCCGUGCCGCGGGACGUGGCCAAGGUCGCCCACACCCAGUGGUCUGCGGGGGCGUCGCCGCCUACCCCAGCCGCGCCGUGCCCUCCCAUAGGGUGGAGCACGCCUACCAGGCGAGCGACGCCUUCCCUGUCCCCGUCUACGACAAUGUGCGGCUGGUGAGCGUGGGCGGCGGGCGACCGGUAGGGCGGGGCAGCCGGCGCUCCGAGCCUGACUACCACAACAUGGAGGGCACGGCCAGGGGAGGCCUGCGCCGCCCCCGCCGCCCACUGCUGCGAGAAGGCGGCCACCACGAGGACCUGGCCGCCGCCGACGUGCACAGCGUCACCUCCAGGCUGUCCGGGGUGUCUGUGGAGACCAACCGAUCAGACCCCACGGAGCUGCGGCUCUCCAAGUACCUGUUGGCCUCACAGUGAAGGGACGAGAAGCACUCACGAGGGCAUAGCUUGUGUCGGGUCAGAGUUGAGAUCAGUGUUUGAGUCGCUCACGAACCAACAACGCCUGCAUGCCUGCCCUCCGCCCCCUCCCCCCCGUAGGACAGUACUAGUAGACAACCUCGCCUGUGUGUCGUGCCAGUGAUAAAGAGACACAGAGACCUAGUUACGUAAGAAAUAGAAAAAAAAAAAAGAUUGUAAGACUCAAGCAUCACCCUACGUAGAAGAUUGCACCCGCCCUCACCCACCCUCACCCCACCCUCCCGCACCCAUCCCCGUGUGCUCAGUAGACAAGUUAAGGUCCCCAGGAAAGUGACGAGAGCACAGUAACAAGGAAAGGAACACGCCCUGCCGCAGUGCCUCCCGCUCCUCUCGUCUCGUACACCCGCCUGGCAGCCUCGUGUCUGUCCUGUCUGUGUGUGUGUCCCGAGGCGAGAAGAACGCCGAGAGGGGGAAAAAAAGGCGUGAUAAACUUAAGUGUUGAUUACAAGCCCAGAACUGUGAAGCGGAGCCGUGUGUGUGUCUGUGUGUGUGUGCCGUCACCGCCCGUCUUUCCCGCCGUGGGAAGAUGAGCGCUGAGUGACUCUGGGAACACCGUCCAUUUCGUGUGUGCGCCGACGAGUUACGAU